AUUGAACGCUGGCGGCAGGCUUAACACAUGCAAGUCGAACGCGCGGCGGACUGGUGAGUAAUGUCUGGGAAACUGCCUGAUGGCGGGGGAUAACUACUGGAAACGGUAGCUAAUACCGCAUACCAUCGGAUGUGCCCAUAUGGGAUUAGCUAGUAGGUGGGGUAAAGGCUCACCUAGGCGACGAUCCCUAGCUGGGCUGAGAGGAUGACCAGACAAACUGGAACUGAGACACGGUCCAGACUCAUACGGGAGGCAGCAGUGGGGAAUAUUGCACAAUGGGCGCAAGCCUGAUGCAGCCAUGCCGCGUGUAUGAAGAAGGCCUUCGGGUUGUAAAGUACUUUCAGCGGGGAGGCGUUACCCGCAGAAGAAGCACCGGCUAACUACGUGCCAGCCGCCGCGGUAAUUC
rnacentral:rRNA from 1 species